UCUAUUUUGGCAGAAUGAGUGCGGUGGAUUUAAGCUCCACACAUAAAGCUAAAAAGCUUUUUUUAGAA
rnacentral:tRNA from 1 species